rnacentral:rRNA from 1 species
UACAGAGGGUGCAACCGUUGUUCGGAUUUACUGGGCGUAAAGCGCGUGUAGGCGGCUUGGCAAGUCGGAUGUGAAAGCCCACGGCUCAACCGUGGAAGCGCAUCCGAAACUGCUUCGCUCGAGUCUCGGAGAGGAAGGUGGAAUGCUUGGUGUAGAGGUGAAAUUCGUAGAUAUCAAGCAGAACACCUGCGGCGAAGGCGGCCUUCUGGACGAUGACUGACGCUGAGACGCGAAAGCGUGGGGAGCAAACAGG